rnacentral:rRNA from 1 species
GAUGAACGCUGGCGGCGUGCUUAACACAUGCAAGUCGAACGAGGUCCAUGGAGCUUGCUCCGGAAGACCUAGUGGCGAACGGGUGCGUAACACGUGAGAAACCUGCCCCGGACUCUGGGAUAACAGUUGGAAACGACUGCUAAUACCGGAUACCUCCGCCGAGUCGCAUGGCUCGGCGAAGAAAGGUCCGCCGGUCUGGGAGGGUCUCGCGGCCUAUCAGCUAGUUGGAGAGGUAACGGCUCACCAAGGCAUCGACGGGUAGCUGGUCUGAGAGGAUGAUCAGCCACACUGGAACUGAGACACGGUCCAGACUCCUACGGGAGGCAGCAGUGGGGAAUCUUGCACAAUGGGCGCAAGCCUGAUGCAGCAACGCCGCGUGCGGGAAGACGGCCCUAGGGUUGUAAACCGCUUUCAGGAGGGAAGAAAAUGACGGUACCUCCAGAAGAAGGUGCGGCCAACUACG